rnacentral:rRNA from 1 species
GACGAGCCACACGAACGUUAUUCGGAAUUACUGGGCUUAAAGGGUGCGUAGGCUGCGCGGAAGGUUGGGUGUGAAAUCCCUCGGCUCAACCGAGGAACUGCGCCCAAAACUGCCGUGCUCGAGGAAGAUAGAGGUAAGCGGAACUUACGGUGGAGCGGUGAAAUGCGUUGAUAUCGUAAGGAACACCUGUGGCGAAAGCGGCUUACUGGGUCUUUUCUGACGCUGAUGCACGAAAGCUAGGGGAGCAAACGGG